rnacentral:rRNA from 1 species
AGCGAACGCUGGCGGCAGGCCUAACACAUGCAAGUCGAACGAAGUCUUCGGACUUAGUGGCGGACGGGUGAGUAACACGUGGGAACGUGCCUUUAGGUUCGGAAUAACUCAGGGAAACUUGUGCUAAUACCGAAUGUGCCCUUCGGGGGAAAGAUUUAUCGCCUUUAGAGCGGCCCGCGUCUGAUUAGCUAGUUGGUGAGGUAAAGGCUCACCAGGGCGACGAUCAGUAGCUGGUCUGAGAGGAUGAUCAGCCACAUUGGGACUGAGACACGGCCCAAGCUCGUACGGGAGGCAGCAGUGGGGAAUCUUGCGCAAUGGGCGAAAGCCUGACGCAGCCAUGCCGCGUGAAUGAUGAAGGUCUUAGGAUUGUAAAAUUCUUUCACCGGGGACGAUAAUGACGGUACCCGGAGAAGAAGCCCCGGCUAACUUCGUGCCAGCCGCCGCCGUAAGAC